ACUUCCAACCGAGAGGUUGUGAGUUCGAGUCUCCCCAAGAGUAAGGUGGGAANNNNNNNNNNNNNNNNNNNNNNNNNNNNNNNNNNNNNNNNNNNNNNNNNNNNNNNNNNNNNNNNNNNNNNNNNNNNNNNNNNNNNNNNNNNNNNNNNNNNNNNNNNNNNNNNNNNNNNNNNNNNNNNNNNNNNNNNNNNNNNNNNNNNNNNNNNNNNNNNNNNNNNNNNNNNNNNNNNNNNNNNNNNNNNNNNNNNNNNNNNNNNNGUGUGUACAUACUACCCUCCCCAGACCCCACUAAGUGGGAUUAUAGUGGGUUGUUGUUGUUGAUAUUCAUCCCACUUUUUAUUAGCGGUUACAUGCAUGUAAAUAAUUAUCUUCUCUGUGAUUUCAUUCUUUUACACUAUUAAUGUAUAGGUCGAAAAGAAUUCAAGAUUUAAUUUUUAACGUUUUUAAUAUUAAAGUGUUUAUAUUUAAAAUUACGUGUUCAAAAUUAAUAUUCUUUGGAAUUUAGUGAUUUCUACUAGUAGUAUAUAUUUAUGUUUUGUUGAAAAUACGAGAUUUAGUUAAACGUAGAGUAUAUAAGCUUCAUCUACCUAUGUGUAUAGAAGUUAAAAUAUACUUCCAGUAUAAUUUAACAUGUUGUAGAAGUAAAUAACCUUAUUUCCUGUAUGCAUUAUACUAAUCUCACUUUAUAAUGUAAAAUUUCUUACACACUAAACAUCCAGACAAUAUAUAGUAGCAAAGACCUUAGCAACCCUAAUACAACAAUAACAACCCAGUAUAAUCCCACAAAUGGGGUCUGGGAAGGGUAGUGCGUACGCAGACCUUACCCCUACCAUAACGUAGAGAGGUUGUUCCGAUAGACCUUCGGCAUCCCUCCCUCCAAGAACUCCUCACCUUGUUCUUGGGAAAUGACUCGAACUCACAGCCUAUUGGUUGGAAGCAGAUGAUGCUCACCCUAAUACUGCAUGCAUUAAUGUUGUUUUGGAAUUAUUAUGAAGAUCAUAAUAAGUAAUCUUCUUUUUAUUUGUUACCUUUCUCAAAAAAUAAUUGAUACAAAUAAUCUUCUUUUUUUGGUCAAAAGAUGUACAUGGCUACGGAUUCAUUGCACAAGAUAUCACAUUUCAAAACACUGCUGGACCAUCUAUGCACCAAGCAGUUGCAGUUAGUAUUGAAGCUGACCAUGUUGCAUUCUAUAGAUGCAAGUUCGAUGGUUAUCAAGAUACACUUUAUACAAGAAAAGGUGUCCAAUUUUUUAAAAAUCGUUAUGUCUAUGGUACUGUUGACUUCAUAUUUGGUAAUGCAAAAGUCAUUCUACAAGAUUGCAAUAUUUAUGCAAGAAAACCUGAAGAUAUUCAACAUGAAGUGACAAUUACUGCCCAAGGAAGAAAACACAAAAAUGAAACUACUGCAAUUGUCCUUCAAGGUUGCACAAUAAACGUCACGCAAGAUUUGCGCGAACAUGAACCAAAGGUAAUAUUGAAUUGUAUUACCAUCUCAUCUAAUGUUGUCCUAACGUAUACUUAAUUAUAUAAUAAUAUUAUGUCUCAUAAGGUACGAGUCUACCUUGGAAGACCUUGGAAAAAUUACUCUCGUGCGAUCGUCAUGUCAAGUUACCUAGAUGGGUUCAUAGAUCAUGAUGGUUGGACUCUAUGGAAUGGAAACCCCUCAGAUAUAUAUUUUGCUGGGUAUAAUAAUAGAGGGCCAGGAGCUGACACAAAUCGACGAGUAAAGUGGGAAAGAAAUCUUUCUGAUUCAGAAGCUUCUAAUUUUACAGUUCGAAACUUUCUUCAUGGAAAUGAAUGGAUACCCUCAGCAAUCCCAUACACACUUGAUCUGGUUUAAAUUUAAAAAGCAUUUACUACUCUUUCCAUUUAGAAAAUAAAUAUUUAGUUUCUUUACCAAAAGAAGAAAGAUAGAAUGACUUGUACUUUAAUUUAUGUUGUUCCACAUGAAAAUAAAUGCAGAAAAUUAAUUCCAGAACUCCGAUUUGCCACUUGAAUUGGUGCAAAAAAUCUUAGUUCAAUUUCAUAGAAAAUUUGCUUAACGAGAGGUGUUGGUAAAGCACUGGAUAUUUACGAAUUGUAGAAGUUUUUUCCAUAAUUAAUUAACUCCUAAAAUACCAAAAAUUAUACAGAGAACUUAAAAAAGAGGAUCGACUCUGCUGGGGAUCGAACCCAGAAUCUCUGGUUCCGUAGACCAGCGCCUUAUCCAUUGGGCCACAAAGUCUUGUUGUUUAGGGGUUGAGAAACAGCAUAACUAUAACUUAUCAAUUAGUUUAUGUUAUGAUUAAAUUAUUAAGAACACGUAACUUGUUCAAUUCUCUCCUUUAUAUUUAUAUAUAAGUUUAUUAUAUUCGAGUUGGACUAGUUUUCAUACAUUGAUCAAAAAAGAGAAUUUUAAAAUUGUUAAGGCAUUUCAAAUCCAAUACGACCUAUACAUGUAAAUUGUAACUUUAAUUUAUCUAUUUACUUAUUGAAAAAUUGUCUUGUAACUAACUUGUGUGUUUCAAGAAAAAAGAGAAGAUGCAUGCCAUAGUAUAAGUGGUUAAUACUAUAUGAUAAUAAAUCCUACACAAUUUUUUUUAGUAAGUUUCUUUGCGAAAGGUAUAUACCUUCACAAAUGAACAACAUCUGAAUGUGAUAGGCUAUAGGUAGGGUUGUUCAUAAAAAUUUAAAAACUUGAACCAAACUAAAUCGAUCAAAAAAAUCAAUACUUUUUUAUUUGAUUUGGUUUUGGUUUUGAAAUUUAAAAAUCGAUUAAAUUUGGUUUGAUUUUGAUUUUAAUUAAAAAAACAAACCAAACCGAAUGAAGGAGUAACUAUUUUGAAUUUAUUAUUACACCUAUAUAUGUAUACUUUUAUACAAAGUUUUAUAAUAAGUAUUAAUCACUUGCACUUUUAGUACAAUUCUUUACCUUUACAUUCUAGGUUAAUCGGUAGUUUUCUUUUGUUAAGUGUAAGAAUCUAUUUCAUGUUAAAAAUAAUAUAUUUUGUAAAGAAUCUAUUUCAUGUUAAAAAUAAUAUAUUGUUUAAUUGAGUCCUUAAAUUAUUUAUCACUAUUUGAUUGAAUUAUCAUCAAUAUAUCUUGGUAAAUAAUAGAUUUCUAAAAGGGCAAUUGAUUUAAAAGUGUUACGUUGAACAUGUGGUUGCCGAAUUGUGUGUUUGGUAUUGUAUGUCUUAUAUUUAAGAAAAAUCGACAAAUAAUCGAAAAAAAUAAAAAAUCGACAUAAACGGAAUCGAGAAAAAAUCGACUUAAUUGGCUUGAUUUGGUUCUAAUAUUUGAAAACUCGACUUACUUGGUUUGGUUUCUUUUUAGGGAAAAAUCGAUCAAAAUCGAACCCUGAACACCCCUAGCUAUAGGGUUGUACAUGGGUCGGGUUGGUUCGAAUUUUACAAUUACUAAACCAAUAUAAUUGUAUCGAAUUAUUAAAUCUAAAGACCAGACCAACCCAUUAAAACUCAAUUUUUUCAAUCUCGGUUUUCGGGUUAUUCGGAUUUUUCCGGUAAAAUCUUCGUUGAACAAAAUGUAUAUCUUGCACGCAAAAUAUUUCCUUAAUCCUAGUAAAGUAUUUUUAAAGAAAAUAAUAUAAAAUAUGAGAUGUGUCAUGGUAUUAUCCUAAAAUAUUCAAUAAUAAAGACAAUAAAAUUAUGUAAUAUAAACAUUGCUAAUUAAAAGCCAUAAUUAAAAUAAACAUAAUCUAAAAGUAUUAAAUCAUGCUAAAAUAUGUAGAGUAAUAAGUAAGUAUUAAUUACAUGACUAAGCGCUAAAGAAAAAAUAAAAAUAGGUUAUGCAUUUUUAUCUAAAUUAUUGGAAACAAAAAAUAGAUAUUCAAUAUAUUCUAGUUCGUAAUAAUGAACUGGAUGUUUUUUGUCAGCAUUAGUAUUGAUUUGAUUUUGGUUUGGGCUUUUGUUAGCAUUAUUUAAUAGGAUUUUUAAAUUCCUAUACCAUAUAGGAAACCUUUUUACCCUCCAUGUUUAAGAUUUGAUUUAAUUACAAACUCGUAUACCAAAUUACCAAUCUUAUACCAUACUUAAUUAAGGGUCUAAUUAAUGGGAAGAUUUUACUCCUUAAUUAAAGGUAUCCAUAUAUCCCAUUCUUCUCUCUCCCCUUAAUUUCUACAUUUCUUUCUCCUAAUCCCAGCGUCAUUUUCUCCCUCACAUUUUUUUUUCUCUUCUCCAUUCCUUCUUAUUCUAAAAAAAUACAAAGAUGAGACCCAUUGAGUAUAAUCAUAUUUUUAGCCAGAGAGAUUCAAUAUGAAACCCAUUGUUUCGGUUAUUGUAAUUUCUGAUAAUUGUCAAAUAUUAUUCUGAAUUUUAACAAGUACGAGCGAUAGUAGAUAUAUGAAACAGAAGACUUCCUCAAUCGAUCAAUCAACAAUUCUCAAUUGUAAAUUUGUGGGGUAGCCAUAUGAAUCUUCUGUAAGUGUGACAGUGUGGGUGCAAUUAUAGUUUAUUUAUAGUUUUUUAUAGAGAUUUUGUAGAUGAAGAGCAAAUUUUAUUGUCAUCUUUUUUUCCACAUAAGGUUGUAGUAUAAAUGUAGUAAUUUUGUAGAUACCCUUAAAAAUAAUACAACUUUAUACAAUACUUAAAUCGAUUUGCAGUUUAUUUGUAAUUUUUUUGUAGAAAUUUUGUAGUCAAUAUUUUUUUUCAACAUAGAUUGUAGUGUAAUUGUAAUAUAAAUAUAACCGAUUCGCAGUUUAUUUGUAAUUUUUUUGUAGAAAUUUUGUAGAUGAAGAGAAAAUUUUGUAGUCAACAUUUUUUUCAACAUAGCUUAAAUUGAUUUGUAAUUUAUUUGUAGAAAUUUUGUAGAUAAAGAAAAAAAUUUGUAGUCAAUAUUUUUUUUUUUACCAUAGAUUGUAGUGUAAUUGUAGUAUAAAUGUAGUAAUUUUGUAGAUACCCUUCAAAACAAUAUUGCUUUAUACAUACGUAAACUGAUUUGUAGUUUAUUUGUAGAUUUUUGUUGAAAAUUUGUAGAUUAGGAAAACAUUUUGUACUCAACAUUUUUUUUCAAUAUAGAUUGCAGUUUAAUUGUAGUAUAAAUUUAGUAGUUUGUAGAUUCCAUUAAAAAAUAUUGAAAAAAUAUUUAGUUCCAAAUCUUUAGCCGCCUAAUUUGGAAGGAAUAAGCUAUUCAAAUAUUUAUCCCAAAUUUGUAGGCGCCUANNNNNNNNNNNNNNNNNNNNNNNNNNNNNNNNNNNNNNNNNNNNNNNNNNNNNNNNNNNNNNNNNNNNAAUUUGUAGGCGCCUAACUUGGAAGGAAUCAAUUCUUAAUAUUUGGUAUUUAAUAAAUUGUAUACAUUUUCCAGAUUUGUAAGCGCCUAAUUUGGAAGGAAUCAAUUCUUAAUAUUUGGUAUUUAAUGAAUGGUAUAAAUUUGUAGCAAAAAUAUAAACAUAGCGGGUAAUAAUGAAAAUAUGCACAUUUUUAGUAAUAAAGUUUCAUAUAUGGUAUAGAUAGGAAAAAAUCGCGUUAAUUUUGUUAUUUUAAGGAUGCACCGUAACACAAAAGGGGUGCAUUAUGUUUUAACUGAUUUUCUCGAAUUAAAAAAACUAGUUCUUUGACCUGCCUAAUUCAAGCACAAACAACAACAGUAAGAAUCACCACCCAGUGAAAUUUCACAAGUUAUUUAAUUUACUAAUAUUAAUGACUAUAAAAUUUAUUAGAACAUUCAAAAGUUCUAAGUCCAACCUUGAAAUAAUACCUUAAAAUAUAAAAUUAUGAAUUUUUAAAGAAAUAUUUACAAAUUACAUCACAAUAAGAAUAUUUAUAUAUUUUAUAUCUAAAAUUUCUAUAUAUAUAAUAUCGGGUUGGUUUGGUUUCGGUUUGACUUUCUUUAGUUAAAACCAAACCAAACUAAUUAUGGUCGGAUUUUUUUUAAUUUCUAUAUAUAUAAUAUCGGGUUGGUUUGGUUUCGGUUUGACUUUCUUUAGUUAAAACAAAACCAAAUCAACUAUGGACGAAUUUUUUUUCCAGCACUAAAUUAUAGUUGAAUUUUUUGUUUCUCGAUUUGACUUGAAUUAUUGGAUUAGUAUAAUUUGUCGAUUAACUUUGUAGAAAAAAAUAAAAGAAUUUUAGUCUAUGGGCUAUCACAUUGAGAUGUUGGCGUGGCCCGAUCUUUCUCUCCAAUAAAAUUGAUGUGAGAAUAACUUCUUCUUUUUUGUUAUCCUUAAAUUUCAUGGUAAACCUUAACUUUUGGCAUUCAUUUAAAAAUAAAUUUAAGAGAUGGAGUGAAUGACCCGAAUAAUGUUUAUUUGACUCAAAAGAUUUCGAACCCUUUUUAAACAAAUCAAUCUAAGAUGAUAAAUGGAUAAAUCCUAGUUAAAGAUAAUUAACUCUAGAUCCGAGAUGAGUAAGAGGAAUAGAAAAAUAUAGUCGAGUAUAAAUGUUGACGGCGAUUAUGACCAGAUUCAAUGGCAUAAAAUAAAGAUGAACUAAGUAACAAAUAUAUGAAUAAAGGAAAAGAUUCACCCAAUCUUCAGUGAGAUGGAUCUUAUUUCAUUUGAUAAAGAUGAAUCAUAGGCAAAUACAAGAACCUUAGGAUCCUUUUUGGAUCCGAUAAAGGUAUAAGAUCAUAGAUAUCUCUAGAGAAGAAUGUUUGCAUAUUUUCUAGAGAGAGGGAGAGGGAGAGAGAUCCCCCGUUUCUAGAAGCCCUUUCUUCCUAUUUAUAAGGGACAUCCAUAGAAAAUCCUAAUUUAGGAGGAAUAUUCAAUAUUCAGUAGAGUAUUCCCUUGAGGAUUCCAAAGUGAACUAGUCAUUUCAUCACGGUCUCACCUCGGCCUCUCCGACCUCGGUUAUUAAUGAUGGUCCGACCUCAACUAUCGAUGACGGUCCGACCUUGGCCUGUCCGACCAUGACCUUAUAUCUCCGCGUGCCAAAUUUCUCUAACAUAAUUUUGAUCCAUACAGUUAGUUCAUCCGCUUAUUGAGGUCAUCUCUUGGUUGAGCUCGAUGAGCGGACUUCAUUAAUCGUAAUUUGAGAAAUUCGGAUGGGGAGGUCGACCAGUGUGGAUCGCGGCUGAGGAUGCCGAUCUUUAGGUCAACAUGGUAUCCCCGUUGGCUGAACUUUAGUAGAGUUUGAUCAGGGCUAUUGACUCGAGUGAUGAGUCAAUCGAGAAGACAGUAGACUUGGAGAAGGACGUCGAGGCCGGGAUGGAGGUUUUGACAAGGAUGGCGGAAUCAGAGGAGGUCAUUUGCGUCCUUGAAUCUGGACGGGCGAGUAGGCCAAAUGUGAAUUAGGACAAGGUCACCGAAUGCAAAUUUGGGUGAGGUCGGUCGAUUCAAACGAGGCCGAAGGUCAAUCCAGAUGAGGCCGAAGGUUGAUUUGGUCGAGGACGAAAGUUGUUUCAGUCGAAGCCGAAUGUUGUUUUUGUCGAGGUUGAAUUAGUUUUUGAGAUGGAGCUUUGCCGUUGGGUUGAUUCGAUCGAGGCCAAAAGUUGAUUCGGUCGAGGUCGAAAAGUUGAUUCGGUCAAGGCCGAAAGUUAAUUCAGAUGAGGCCAAAUGUUGUUUCGGUCGAAACUGAAUGUCGUUUCGGUCAAGGUUGAAAGUUGUUUCGGUCGAAGCCGAAUCUUAUUUCGGUCGAGGCCGAAUUCUUUUUAGAGAUCCGUUGGGGUUGAUUUGGUCAAGGCCAAAAGUUGAUUCGGACGAGGCCGAAUGUUAUUUCGGUCGAGGCCGAAUGUUGUUUCGGUCGAGGCCAAAAGUUGUUUCGUCGAGGCUGAAAGUUAUUUCGAUCGAGGCCGAAAGUUGUUUCGAUCGAGGCCGAAAGUUGUUUCGAUCGAGGCCGAAUGUUUAUUCGAACGAGGCCAAAUGUUGAUUUGGAUGAGGCCGAAUGUUGUUUCGGUCGAGGCCGAAUUCUUUUUGGAGAUGGCCCUUGGCCAUUAGGGUUGACCUCCUCUUUUUUGGCCAUGGCCCUUAGCCAUAAGGGUCGACCCCCUCUUUUUUUGCUAAGGCCCUUGUCCGUAAGGUCAAUUCGGACUAGGCCAAUUAUCUAUUCGGACGAGGCCGAAUGUUGAUUCGGUCGAGGUGGAAUUCUUUUUGGACAUGGCCUUGGCCGUUGGGGUCGACCUCCUCUGUUUUGGCGAUGGCCCUUGGUCAUAUGGGUCGACCCCAUUUUUUUGUGAUGGCCCUUGGCCAUAGGGGUCGAUUUGGACGAGGUCGAAUUCUUUUUAGAGAUAGACCUUGGUCGUUGGGGUUGACCUCCUCUUUUUUGGCGAAGGCUCUUAGCCUUAAAGGGUGUUAUUUCAAAUUUAUCAAAAUGUUAACCCGUCGUCGUUCGAUCAAGCUCGAAUUUUUCUUCUUUGGCGAAGGCCAUUAGCCUCAAAGAGUGUUAUUUCGAACUUAUCAAAAUGUUAACCCGUCGUCAUUCGAUCGAGGUCGAACUCUUCUUUUGGCGAAGACCCUUAGCCUUUAAGGGUGUUAUUUCGAACUUAACAAAAUGUUGACUCGUCAUCAUUCAAUCAAGGUCGAACUCUUCUUCUUUGGCGAAGGCCUUUAGCCUCAAAGGGUGUUAUUUCUAACUUAUCGAAAGGCUAACCCAUCAUCGUUCGAUCAAGGUCGAACUCUUCUUCUUUGGCGAAGGACCUUAGCCUCAAAGGGUGUUAUUUCGAACUUAUCGAAAUGUUAACCCGCCGUCGUUCGAUCGAGGUCUAACUCUUUAUCUUUGGCGAAGGCCCUUAGCCUUUAAGAAUGUUAUUUCGAACUUAUCAAAAUGUUAACCCGUCGUCGUUCGAUCAAGGUCGAACAUUUCUUCUUUGGCGAAGGCCCUUAGCCUCAGAGGGUGUUCCCUGGGGAGUCCCAACUUUCUUGAUUUUGCUUGCAUUGGAGAAUAUGACGUAUUUCCUGGAGGAGUCCCAAUUUGCUUAAUUUUGCUUGCAUUGGAGAAUAUGAUGUAUUCCCUAGGGGAGUCUCAAUUUGCUUAAUUUUGCUUGCAUUGGAGAAUUUGAUGUAUUCCCUGGAGGAGUCCCAGUUUGCUUAAUUUUACUUGCAUUGGAGAAUAUGAUGUAUUUUCUGGGGGAGUCCCAGUUUGCUUAAUUUUGCUUACAUUGGAUGGGAGUCUCAGUUCGCUUAAUUUUGCUUGUAUUGGAGAACAUGAUGUAUUCCCCAGGGAAGUCCCAGUUUGCUUAAUUUUGCUUGCAUUGGAGAUAUGAUGUAUUCCCUUGAUUUAAUCGGUCGGCGAGUAGAGAGGAGUGACCACGCUCCCUUCUCCGAUUAUGCUUUCAGUGUCCACUACCAAUUUAGUGUGGCUGUACGCUUUAGUAAAGUUUUAUGUCUACAAUUGGGUUUGAUGUUGUAGAGGCUAUGAAGAUAUGUUGAUAGUUCCGGAAAUUAUUGUUCCUAAAAACUAAACCAAGAACCUUGAUCGAGGUGGGAUUUUCAUGUAGUGGCCGAGUUUGAAGUUGGUGAGGGAAGAGACAACCUGUGACAUAUGCUCAUGUACCUGUAGACUUUGAGGCAUACAUCUGCUAUGGGCCUUCCUAGCAGUAGAAGCAGGACAAAAUGUUAUGAUAUAAUCAGCAGAAGCACAGGUGAAGGUGCUGGUUCCAUCAUCAUACGCAUAGAUGUAAGUGUGUGGGCAUGAACUCUUGAAAAACUCUGAGUAAUCCGGUCGGCAUGUAUGUGUCAUGCGUAGUAUAAGGCCCACUACAAUAAUAUCUCGAAUCCCAAACGCCUCCUCACACGUGCUCUUGCAUGCAACGCACUCGCCGCUACCAUCAUCGUUGUAGGUACUCAUCAUCUUCAGUUCCGCCGAGCACGGCCCAUUAAGGUCCACAACACACCCAGUUGCGGUAUAGUUUCCAGCACCGGCUCCAUCUUGUGGGCUCACUAGCAUAGGAUAACCAUCCACAAGGCUAACAUCAUAGAAAUCAUGGCCACUGAUGUCGUCGAGAGUGAACUCUGAUAGUGUCGCCGCUGGUGCACUCAAGUGUUCCGGAGCUGCAAUCACCUGUGAUGCAAGUGAAUUUACUUGUAGUUGAGUCUUGGGAGCAAAGAAUCCGACCCCAUAAUCGAUCCGACCAAACCGCUGGAACUGAAACGGGUAUGGCUUGUCCUGGAUUUAACUGAAGUCCAAUUGGAGAAAGCUAGGUAGUACCUGCACCUUAUAAUAUCCCUGGUGAUAAGAAGGUGUUAACUUUUAUUUUAUGAUCAAUAUGUUGUACUAUUUCUUUUUCAAUUGACAAUUACUCAGCCAAUCAUUGCUUUUCAAAGUGACAAUCUUGUGAGAAUUUGUGUUUACAGACCCACUAAACACGUUAACUUACAGAGGUCUUGAAAGAAGAAGUCGUAUAAAGGUAGUAGUAUUCUAAAUAAAGCUUAUUUAGGUCGGAGGGAACAAGAGGAAAGAAACGGGAAGUAAGUAUUGUUUCAAUUGUUUAGCAAUUAGUUUUUGCAUUAGUUACCUCAAUAAAAUCCUUAAAGCAUAAUAUAAAAUGUGAAACUAUGUUGUUAAUGAUUUCUGACAAUAGGCAGCGAGUAAUUAAAAAGAUUUACUUAUAUCAUUGAUAAUAAUCAAUAAUUAUUUAAAUUGUAUAUACUAUUCCAUGAAACGUUAUCGGACCAAGUUAUUUAUAGAAAGUUUUUGGACCGACGUUGGAAGGGGAACAGAACACCGCCAAUGUGUAAGGUGAACAGAUGUUGUAGCUGCCUCAUUAUUGACCAGAAGCUCCUUAAUACAACUCGUAACAACUAGUACCGCCUAUUUGAGCAACCAACUUACGGUAGCAGAUUGUGGGAUUUACCUAAUUCUCAAUUCAAUGUUAACAAAUAGUAGAGGAACAUAGUUGAUAAAAAAUAAAAUCAUUUCAUUGGUUAAUGGUGAGUCAUUAUUCUCUUUUAAGAGAGAUUUUUACCAAAAGACUCUUGCACGUCUCCUUUUAAGACAGUAACCUAAGACUUUUUAGCCAAAAAGAUUAUGUAAUUUUUGAUUUAGAGGAAAUUAAAAUUUUAGCUAGAAAAUUCUCACAGACGACGUUAAAUUGUUUGACUCAAAAGAUUGCUAACUCUUUUUAAGUAAAUUAAUCGAAGAUGAUGAAGGGGUAAAUCCAGUUAAAGAUAAUUAACUCUAGAUCCGAGAUGGUAAGAGGAAUAGAAAAAUAUAGUCGAGUAUAAAUAUUGACGGCGAUUAUGACCAGAUUCAAUGGCAUAAAAUAAAGAUGCAUUAAGUAACAAAGAUAUGAAUAAAGGAAAAGAUUCAUCCAAUCUUCAGUGAGACAGAUCUUCUAUCAUUUGAUAAAGGCGAAUCAUACACAAAUACAAAAACCUUAGGAUCCUUUUUAGAUCCGAUGAAGGUAUAGGAUCAUAAAACUCUACAGAAGAGUGUUUACAUAUUUUCUAGAAAGAGGAAGAGGGAGAGAGAGCCCCCUCUUUUUUAGAAGCUCUUUCUUCCUAUUUAUAAGGGACAUUCAUAGAGAAUAUUCAGUAGAGUACUCAUUUUAAAGAUUCCAAAGUGAAUUAGUCAUUUCAUCACGGUCCGACCUCGAUUAUUGAUGACGGUCCGACCUCUGCUAUUGAUGGAUCUUCAGUAAGACGGAUCUUCUUUCAUUUGAUAAAGACGAAUCAUAGACAAAUACAAGAACUUUAGGAUCCUUUUUGGAUCGGAUGAAGUUAUAGGAUCAUAGAUCUCUCUAAAGAGGAGUGUUUACAUAUUUUCUACGGAGAGGAAGAGGGAGAGGGAGAGAGAGCCCCAUUUUUUGGAAGCCUUUUCUUCCUAUUUUGUAAGAGACAUCCAUAGGAAAUCCUAAUUUAGGGGGAAUAUUUAGUAGAAUAUUCCUUUUGAGGAUUCCGAAGUGAACUAGUCAUUUCAUACUGUCCGACUUCGGCAUGUCCGACCUCGGAUAAUGAUGGUUCGACCUCGGCUAUCGAUGACGGUCCGACCUCGACUACUGAUAACGGUUCGACCUUGGCCUGUUUGACCACAACCUUAUAUCUUCGCGUGCCUGAAUUUCUCUGACAUAAUUUUGGCCCAUACAAUGUUCAUAUUAUUUGUCUAUUAUAAAAAAAUCAAACCUUUUGAAAAAGACAUUGAGCAACUUAAUUUAACCUUAAGAGUAUUUUUUUGAAAUAGUGUUUAUCUCAUCCUUAAAAUGUCUCAUUUAAUUAAUAUUUCACUAAUUUGAGCAGUAAGGUUGGAUCUUACAAAUUAACAAACGCUUAUAAACCGUCAAAUAUUUUGAACAAAUUUAGUUUAUAAAAAAAUUACUAUUUGAAAUAAGGUUUUCGUAUACACUGCGGUCCCCCAGGCUCCAUUAGAAAAAUUUUAUUGAAUUAUUAUUAUUGUAACUAAUAUUUGGGAUCGUGAUAAUAUGAAUGUCAAAAAGUUCAUGAAACUCAUAAAUGGGUUGAAGCUCCAAUAUUACUUUAUUUUUGUGACACACUUUCAUUUUUAAUUUAUUUCAGAAGAGAAUAUUACCUUUAUAUAUCUAAUAAUAAUUUGUGUUUAAACUUUAUAUUUUAUCCUUUAUGAUGAUUUAUAGCCACAAAACUAUUUAUAGCAUAUUUAAACCAUAAGUUUCAAAAAAAAUUCUUAAACUCUACAUCCAAUCAAAAAAAUUGGAACAGAUUAAGUAACUGAUACAAUAAUAUUUUGAACAUCCAUAUUUAAAAUCUUAUUGGAUCCAUAUUUUGUCUUUUUAAGAUUUUUGCACAUUCCAGAAAAAUAUUUAAUAGUCCUAAUAACAAUAAAUUUUGUUUAAAUUACUAAACUACCCUUUAUCUCUCUUAAAUUUGUCACUUAAUUAACACUCCAUAGAUUAACAGUAAUGGCAAUUAUUUUGUUUAAAGCAAUAAUAAUUUUUUGUCUUUUAAGAACUUAAAAUAUUUCAAAACCACUAAUAUUUGCGUUCUGAGGGGCAAAGAGGUCCGUCCGCACAAAGACUAGAAUGACAAAGGUUCCUCUCUUCUUGUCUUGUAGGGUGGGGCCAUGUGUGAGAGGUAGUUAGAAUGACAACAACUCGGAUGAUAAAUUAUUAAACAAAAUACGUACAAUAAGACCAAGAAAAAUCAAACUGAUAGUUGUAUCGAAUAGAAUCAGAAUUAACGAAUUAAAACAACACAAGCCAAUAUUAUUUAAUUUAAUAAACCAAUUGACUCUCAAAGUCAGUCACCAAAAACCAACUCUUUCAUUGUUAAACCUCUAAUAUAUGCUAUACUUACAAAGCCCAAGUCAAAGUCUUCUUUGUUUCUCUCCCUACAAUCUUGAUCUCUUUGUUCAUUUAAUAGUACAGCAAAACAAAAUUUACAUUAAAGAUCUACUUUGUCACAGCUUUUUUAGGCAUUGAAUUUGGAUUAUUUCUUGAGGCCAAGAGGAUUUAAUUGAAAAUAUACAAAUUUUUGAAUUCCCUUAGAAUAAGAAAAGAUUUCAGAGUAGUGACAAAGUGUUGAUGGCGGAUACAGUGAAGCAAAUCCUGGUAAAGCCAAUUCAAUUGGCAGAUCAAGUGACUCAGGCAGCUGAUGUGGCUACUUCAUUCAAGCAAGAAUGUGCUGAGCUCAAGUCCAAAACAGAGAGGCUGGUCGUGCUGCUUCGUCAAGCAGCACGGGCCAGCAACGAUCUCUACCAACGCCCCACGAGGCGUAUUAUUGACGACACUGAACAAGCCCUGGAGAUGGCUAUAUCGAUCGUUACCAAAUGUUGUGCUCAGGGACUAAUGCAGCGCGUAUUUACCAUCAUCCCAUCUGCAUCUUUUCGCAACCUGUCUUCACAGCUAGAGAAUUCCAUAGGUAAUGUUUCGUGGCUCCUGCGUGUUUCAGCCACAGAAAGCGGAGAUGAGUACUUGGGCCUUCCUCCUAUUGCCGCUAAUGAACCUAUAUUGUGUUUUAUUUGGGAACAUAUAGCGAUUUUAUAUACUGGUUCGGUCAAUGAUCGAUCUGAAGCUGCUGCAUCACUGAUUUCACUAGCUAAGGACAAUCAUCGGAAUGGAAAAUUGAUCGUUGAAGAAGGUGGAGUUGGACCAUUGUUGAAAUUGUUGAAAGAAGGAAAAUUGCAAGGUCAGGAGAAUGCUGCAAAGGCAAUUGGACUAUUAGGACGUGACACUGAUAGCAUCGAACACAUGGUGCAUCUCGGUGUAUGCUCAGUGUUUGUGAAAAUCCUCAAAGAAGGUUCAAUGAAAGUUCAAGCUAUCGUGGCUUGGGCAGUUUCUGAACUUUCUGCAAAUAACCCAAAAUGUCAGGAUCUCUUUCAUCAGGAUAAUAUAAUUAGAUUACUUGUUAGCCAUCUCGCUUUUGAGACAGUCCAGGAGCAUAGCAAGUAUGCUAUUACUAGCAAAGCCACGUCGAUUCAUGCUGUCGUUUUUGCUAGUAAUAAUAGUGAGGGUAAUGUGACUAGUGUGCACAAUGUGAACUAUAAUAAUGAUGAUGUAAAGCAUCACCAUCAGCACAGUGUUUCUACUACAGGGGUAAGUAGUAAAGGGCGAGAACUCGAGGAGUCUGCUACUAAGGAUUAUAUGAAGGCAAUGGCUGCAAGAGCUCUAUGGAAACUUGCCAAGGGAAAUUCAUCUAUUUGCCGUAGCAUUACUGAAUUAAAAGCACUGCUUUGCUUUGCAUUAUUGUUAGAGAAAGGGACUGAAGAUAUUCAGUACAAUUCAGCUAUGGCAGUAAUGGAAAUCACAGCUGUGGCGGAGCAAGAUUCUGAUUUGAGAAAGUCAGCAUUCAAGCCUAAUUCACCCCCUUGCAAAGCUCUUGUUGAUCAACUGCUGAGAAUCAUCGAAAAAGAAUAUUUAAAUCUGCUCAUUCCGUGCAUUAGAUCUAUUGGGAAUUUGGCUAGGACUUUUCGAGCUACAGACACGAGGAUGAUUAGCCCAUUAGUAAAGCUGCUCGAUGAACGAGAAGCAGAGAUUUCAAACGAAGCAGCCAUUGCACUCGCAAAAUUUGCGUGCAAUGAUAACUACCUUCACAUGGAUCAUUGUAAAGCGAUCAUAAGCAUGGGAGGGGCAAAGCAUUUGAUUCAACUUGUUUUCCUUGGUGAUAAAAUAGUUCAGCGUUCUGCAUUACUACUGUUAUGUUACAUUGCAUUGCACGUCCCUGAUAGCGAUGAGCUAGCUCAAUCCGAGGUGCUUUCAGUGCUAGAAUGGUCCUCGAAGCAAGCAUACUUGAACCAAGAUGAAAAGGUGGAGACAUUGUUGCAUGAAUCGAAAAGCAGGCUUGAACUCUAUCAAUCUAGAGGAUCAAGGGGAUUCCAUUGACUGCAUCUGUGACUUGAUGAGCAUAAUUUGCAUGUCGUUAGAUGAGAUAUUCUGUUUCUUGUUUUUAAAUGUCUUGACAAGAGGGGUUGCUCUGAUGCUAAGCAACCCCACUUCCAACCUCCGUUGUGAGUUUGAGUCUCCUCAAGAGCAAGGUGGGAAGUUCUUGGAGGGAAGGAUGCCGGGGUCUAUUUGGAAANNNNNNNNNNNNNNNNNNNNNNNNNNNNNNNNNNNNNNNNNNNNNNNNNNNNNNNNNNNNNNNNNNNNNNNNNNNNNNNNNNNNNNNNNNNNNNNNNNNNNNNNNNNNNNNNNNNNNNNNNNNNNNNNNNNNNNNNNNNNNNNNNNNNNGGUUGUGAGUUCGAGUCUCCCCAAGAGCAAGGUGGGAAGUUCUUGGAGGGAAGGAUGACGGGGGUCUAUUUGGAAACAGCCUCUCUCCCUAAGGGUAGGGGUAAAGUCUGCAUACACACUACCCUUCCCCAGACCCCACUAAGUGGGAUUAUACUGGGUUGUUGUUGUUGUUGUUUUUAAAUGUCUUCCUAUUUCCUAUGGUCAUGGAAUGUAUGUAAAAUAAACUUUUUAUCCUGCAAAAAUUUUGUUUAAGAAGAUCUCAGGGAAUCCUCAGUAUUCUGUUGGAAUCCCCAAUUCAUUUGGUACUGAAGCGUAGUAGUAGUUGUUGUAAUAUAAAAUCAUUUUAUUCGGCUUUGUGAUUUUUCUUUCAUUCUGUUUAAGGGUGAAAAGAAUGGACCUUGGGCCUAACUCAACCCCAAAAGCUAGC
rnacentral:lncRNA from 1 species